rnacentral:miRNA from 1 species
CAGGCGGUAUCAGGAGGCUGA